CUCUAAGGGCAUUUGGUGGAUGCCUUGGCGUUGAGAGGCGAUGAAGGACGUGACACGCUGCGAUAAGCCAUGGGGAGCUGCGAGUAAGCUUUGAUCCGCGGAUUUCCGAAUGGGGAAACCCGGCUGGGGUCAUGCCCAGUCACCCGAAAGGGAGCGAACCAGGGGAACUGAAAUAUCUAAGUACCCGGAGGAAAGGACAUCAACCGAGACUCCGUUAGUAGUGACGAGCGAACGCGGACCAGGCCAG
rnacentral:rRNA from 1 species